UACGAAGGGGGCGAGCGUUGUUCGGAUUUACUGGGCGUAAAGGGCGCGCAGGCGGCUAGUUUUGUCGAGUGUGAAAGCCCCGGGCUUAACCUGGGAACUGCGCUCGAAACGGGCUGGCUAGAGAUCGGGAGAGGAGAGUGGAAUUCCCAGUGUAGAGGUGAAAUGCGCAGAUAUCAGGAAGAACACCCGUGGCGAAGGCGGCUCUCUGGGACGGUACUGACGCUCAGGCACGAAAGCGUGGGGAGCAAACAGG
rnacentral:rRNA from 1 species